rnacentral:lncRNA from 1 species
UAUACUACAACCCAGAUAUGCCUACAAUUACAACACAUAAUAUGCUACUCUUUGUUGAUAUGCUUCACAGCUUCGGCCUUGGAUUCGCACUUCACCUAUGCAAAGAAUAAGAAUGAAAAUAUAAGAACAAGAAUGUGUACAGAACAUCAAACAGUAGCUAAUGAGGGAUCCAAUAACUUAUAAGCAAGAAUUGACAGGAAAUGCCAUGUAGAUAGAUAGUAUGACUAACACUAACUAGUAUGCGUUCAUGAAGUGAAAAUGUUCUCACUAGCUAAGAUUUUUUUGGGUAUAUAGUAUACUAAUAUGUGCAACUCUAACUAAAUUGAUCAUAGAAAUGAAAAGAACUAUAAGAACGAGUUCAUUCAGAAUCCAGACAUGUCAAAUUUUAAGCACCAGCAAAACAGAUCUAAUAAACCAGACCAUAAUCAGCAUGCAUCAGGAUUUAUGGUUCUAGCAAAACGGUAUGGAUACGGAGAUACACGCAUCAAGCAUACCAGCUACUACAAUAAGAGGUCCAGAUGCUCCAGGAACUGUAGGGAGUACGCACCCCGGCAGUCGUGCAGUAGCUAGGGAUUGAGGAGGAUGAGCUUGCUCCCAUUGUACCUGGAAGGUAGACAGGAAAACAAGUUAUGGCAGCAGAAGCAUCAUGCUGUAUCCAUUGUACCAGGGUCAUAUUUGGGUACACAAUUAGCUAAUAUGUCGAUAAAAAGUACUCAGUAGCUACAAUGUAUAGGUUACAUGUAUGAACGGAAGAUUCAGCAAAGGCAUGUUGAUAAAACAGUGAAAACAAUGGUAUCCGGUAUACCGCCAUGAAUAAGCACUUAUUAAUAUUUAUAUUCAUCAUCACAGCAACCUAUAACCACCUAUGCUCAUUGUUAAAAAUCUAUGCAUAGUUACAAAAAUAAACCUAUGUAUUUGAAACCAGAAUAUAUUUCUCACUCAAAUCUGAAUUCAUUGGUUUCUCCUCCAAACUAUUGAAAUCUCAGGCCUCUAAUUCGCUAGUUUCUUGGGCAACAAACAUCAUUGCAAAUUUGCAAUGCAACAUAGAUAAACCAAAUGUAACAUCAGAAACAACAAGGUAGAAUCAUCUAGACCACAUGUUUACCAGCAAAAAAAAAUCUAGAACACGUGUUCAACCGAAAUGCACUACUCCAUUCUCGUAAUAUUAACAUAGAGGAACUGCGUCUAUUAGAUGAUGUCCACAAGGACCAAUCAUGCACACUGCACAAAUGGCACACUCGCAUGCAGAGAAAUCGAGCUCAGGCAGUAGCAAAUAAACAUUGAUGGAUUACCCACCGUGCAUAGACCAAUCAGCAACAGCAGCAACAGUAGGUAGUAGAAGUAGAAGAGGGAGG